rnacentral:tRNA from 1 species
GGUGCCAUAGCUCAGUUGGUAGAGCAAAGGACUGAAAAUCCUUGUGUCGUUGGUUCGAUUCCAACUGGCACCA